AAAAUCUGCAACCCCAGCCACGCGCUCCGUCCUGGAAGAGGCUGAGAGAGGAGGAGCAGCAGCAACAACAGACUUGGACAGGACACCACUAAACCCAUUCCCUCUGGAGAGAGAGAGAGAGAGAGAGAGAAAUCCAUCAGGUUGGGGAGGCAGGAGAGCUGCACCAGGAGAACUUCCACCUGCUUCCAUGGGCUCAGAUCACCUGCACAUUUUAAAAGACAGACGUCCACCUGUCCAUCCUACAGACAAGACGUUACCUGCCUCUGCUGUUUUUCUGAACUCGGCUCUUCACUCCAAACCGAUGGCGGGCAGGGAGCUGGAAAGGUCUUGAAACUGGGGGGUCUCCACCCACCCCAGGGGAAGAGGGGCUUUGCAGAAGAGAGAACAGGCUGCGCAGAUGGUGAGGUUGCGAAAGGGGCCUGGUAUUCCCUAAACUGACGGCAAGAAUCAGAAGGCAAUGGGGGCAGCAAGCCAUGGCCAGAUU